AAGCAGAGGCAGCUCUUGCAGCUGAAGAAGAGGAAGCUCCCGCAGAUGGAGAACAAGAGGCAUCCAACCCAGAAGAAGAGGCAGAGGCAGAGGCAGAGGCAGAGGCAGAUGAAGGAGCAGCUGGUGUGGAGCAGGAGGACUCUGUGACAGAGGAAACGGCUCCUGCAGAGGAGGUGGAGGCAGCAGAGGAGGGUCAGACAGAGCAGGACGAGUUGGUUGCUUUAUCAGAAAAGACAGCAGAGGGGGAACAAAGUGAAGAGGAGAACCAGGAAGCACAUGAAGAGGAGAGCCACAAAGCAGCGGAAGCGGAGGAGGAGGUGGAGGUAGUGUCUGAAGUAGAGAAUGGACUGGAAGGUGAGGAAGUGUCAGAAGAAGAAGAAGAAGAAGAGGAGCAGCAGCAGGAUAUAGCAGCUGAAGAGGAGGCUGAUGAAUGAAAGGAGCCAUUAGAAAAUGAUGCUUUACCACAGGAUGAAUAGUACAAGUCAACAGAAUGGGAUUCUUUUCCACACCGGAGAAUUGAAACUUUCACAGUCUAAAAUCAGUCUUCAAUGAAAAAUACCGUAUGAAAGCAUUAUUGAUUACUGUUGUUUAGGUGCAGUAUUCAUUAUGUGAUUACUCUUUAAAAGGUGUCAGUCAGAAGAAAUCAGUCACUGCACGCUGGAGUCCACGCUGAAUCCUGUGCGUCAAAAUAUGACAUGGCUGUUAAGUUAUGUAGGAGAUGAGAAAUGCAGGAUUCGCCUACCAAUAACAACCUCAAAAGCCUUAAAAGAACUGUCUUUCUACAGAGCAUUUUCCACUCUUCUUCAUAACUUGCCCCCUUUAUAAAAACAAACA